rnacentral:rRNA from 1 species
GAUGAACGCUGGCGGCGUGCCUAAUACAUGCAAGUCGAGCGAAUGGAUUAAGAGCUUGCUCUUAUGAAGUUAGCGGCGGACGGGUGAGUAACACGUGGGUAACCUGCCCAUAAGACUGGGAUAACUCCGGGAAACCGGGGCUAAUACCGGAUAAUAUUUUGAACUGCAUGGUUCAAAAUUGAAAGGCGGCUUCGGCUGUCACUUAUGGAUGGACCCGCGUCGCAUUAGCUAGUUGGUGAGGUAACGGCUCACCAAGGCAACGAUGCGUAGCCGACCUGGGAGGGUGAUCGGCCACACUGGGACUGAAACACGGCCCAGACUCCUACGGGAGGCAGCAGUAGGGAAUCUUCCGCAAUGGACGAAAGUCUGACGGAGCAACGCCGCGUGAGUGAUGAAGGCUUUCGGGUCGUAAAACUCUGUUGUUAGGGAAGAACAAGUGCUAGCUGAAUAAGCUGGCACCUUGACGGUACCUAACCAGAAAGCCACGGCUAACUACGUGCCAGCCGCCGCGGUAA